rnacentral:rRNA from 1 species
UACGGGGGGGGCAAGCGUUGUUCGGAAUUACUGGGCGUAAAGGGCUCGUAGGUGGCCCCAUAAGUCAGACGUGAAAUCCCUCGGCUCAACCGAGGAACUGCGUCUGAGACUGUGGGGCUUGAAUCCGGGAGAGGGAUGCGGAAUUCCUGGUGUAGCGGUGAAAUGCGCAGAUAUCAGGAGGAACACCGAUGGCGAAGGCAGGUCUCUGGGCCACUACUGACGCUGAGAAGCGAAAGCAUGGGGAGCGAACAGG